AUGGACAAAGUGUAUACAGAAAUCGAGUGAUUAUGUCAAAAAAUGAUGUAUGUCUUUUUUGACAAUUGCUUAAAAUAAAUUCUACACCGACAGAGCGGGCUGUUAAUCUAGAGGCUGGAGUACAAAGAAGUGGCACAAUGAUGUGGGCUGAUGACAUUUAUAAUUAUCAAGGAAUCACCCCUACAUUCGCUCAGAAUUUUAAUGAAACUGUCCCUUGGGAAGGAAGAACUGAUACCUUGAUAUCACGGUUUGUACAUCCUAUAUAUACGACAAAUUUUAGAACAUUAUAUAACGAAGAACCAGAUCGUCGUGGCCAUGUGAUGUGAAUAAAAGGACUUGAAUUUGAUGAUAUUUUUAUAAUGUUAGAUAACAUAACUAAGUAUCUUCACAGUAAGAUAGGA